ACAGAGGGGGCAAGCGUUGUCCGGAAUUACUGGGCGUAAAGAGCACGUAGGCGGUCGCGCAAGUGGUGUGUGAAACCAAUCAGCUUAACUGAUUGACGCCAUGCCAAACUGCGCGACUCGAGUCAUGGAGAGGUUAUUCGAAUUGCUGGUGUAGUGGUGAAAUGCGUAGAGAUCAGCAGGAAGACCAAGGGCGAAAGCAGAUAACUGGCCAUGCACUGACGCUCAGGUGCGAAAGCGUGGGGAGCAAACUGGAUUAGAUACCCAGGUAGUCCACGCUGUAAACGAUGUAUGCUCGGUAUGUGUGCCUGUUAAGGGCAUGGGUACCUUAGGAAACCCGGUAAGCAUACCGCCUGGGAAGUACGAACGCAAGUUUA
rnacentral:rRNA from 1 species